AUCCUGGCUCAGGAUGAACGCUAGCUACAGGCUUAACACAUGCAAGUCGAGGGGCAGCAUUUUAGUUUGCUUGCAAACUGAAGAUGGCGACCGGCGCACGGGUGAGUAACACGUAUCCAACCUGCCGAUAACUCCGGGAUAGCCUUUCGAAAGAAAGAUUAAUACCGGAUAGUAUACGAAUAUCGCAUGAUAUUUUUAUUAAAGAAUUUCGGUUAUCGAUGGGGAUGCGUUCCAUUAGUUUGUUGGCGGGGUAACGGCCCACCAAGACUACGAUGGAUAGGGGUUCUGAGAGGAAGGUCCCCCACAUUGGAACUGAGACACGGUCCAAACUCCUACGGGAGGCAGCAGUGAGGAAUAUUGGUCAAUGGGCGCGAGCCUGAACCAGCCAAGUAGCGUGAAGGAUGAAGGCUCUAUGGGUCGUAAACUUCUUUUAUAUGGGAAUAAAGUUUUCCACGUGUGGAAUUUUGUAUGUACCAUAUGAAUAAGGAUCGGCUAACUCCGUGCCAGCAGCCGCGGUAAUACGGAGGAUCCGAGCGUUAUCCGGAUUUAUUGGGUUUAAAGGGAGCGUAGGUGGAUUGUUAAGUCAGUUGUGAAAGUUUGCGGCUCAACCGUAAAAUUGCAGUUGAAACUGGCAGUCUUGAGUACAGUAGAGGUGGGCGGAAUUCGUGGUGUAGCGGUGAAAUGCUUAGAUAUCACGAAGAACUCCGAUUGCGAAGGCAGCUCACUAGACUGUCACUGACACUGAUGCUCGAAAGUGUGGGUAUCAAACAGGAUUAGAUACCCUGGUAGUCCACACAGUAAACGAUGAAUACUCGCUGUUUGCGAUAUACAGUAAGCGGCCAAGCGAAAGCAUUAAGUAUUCCACCUGGGGAGUACGCCGGCAACGGUGAAACUCAAAGGAAUUGACGGGGGCCCGCACAAGCGGAGGAACAUGUGGUUUAAUUCGAUGAUACGCGAGGAACCUUACCCGGGCUUAAAUUGCAACAGAAUAUAUUGGAAACAGUAUAGCCGUAAGGCUGUUGUGAAGGUGCUGCAUGGUUGUCGUCAGCUCGUGCCGUGAGGUGUCGGCUUAAGUGCCAUAACGAGCGCAACCCUUAUCUUUAGUUACUAACAGGUUAUGCUGAGGACUCUAGAGAGACUGCCGUCGUAAGAUGUGAGGAAGGUGGGGAUGACGUCAAAUCAGCACGGCCCUUACGUCCGGGGCUACACACGUGUUACAAUGGGGGGUACAGAAGGCGGCUACCUGGUGACAGGAUGCUAAUCCCAAAAACCUCUCUCAGUUCGGAUCGAAGUCUGCGACCCGACUUCGUGAAGCUGGAUUCGCUAGUAAUCGCGCAUCAGCCAUGGCGCGGUGAAUACGUUCCCGGGCCUUGUACACACCGCCCGUCAAGCCAUGAAAGCCGGGGGUACCUGAAGUACGUAACCGCAAGGAGCGUCCUAGGGUAAAACUGGUAAUUGGGGCUAAGUCGUAACAAG
rnacentral:rRNA from 1 species